UACGGAGGGGGCAAGCGUUGUUCGGAAUUACUGGGCGUAAAGGGCUCGUAGGCGGCCCACUAAGUCGGAUGUGAAAUCCCCAGGCUCAACUUGGGAACUGCAUCCGAUACUGGAUGGCUUGAAUUCGGGAGAGGGAAGCAGAAUUCCAGGUGUAGCGGUGAAAUGCGUAGAUAUCUGGAGGAAUACCGGUGGCGAAGGCGGCAUCCUGGACCGACAUUGACGCUGAGGAGCGAAAGCUAGGGGAGCAAACGGG
rnacentral:rRNA from 1 species